UACGUAGGGUGCGAGCGUUGUCCGGAAUUAUUGGGCGUAAAGGGCUCGUAGGCGGUUUGUCGCGUCGGGAGUGAAAACUCAGGGCUUAACCCUGAGCCUGCUUCCGAUACGGGCAGACUAGAGGUAUGCAGGGGAGAACGGAAUUCCUGGUGUAGCGGUGAAAUGCGCAGAUAUCAGGAGGAACACCGGUGGCGAAGGCGGUUCUCUGGGCAUUACCUGACGCUGAGGAGCGAAAGUGUGGGGAGCGAACAGGAUUAG
rnacentral:rRNA from 1 species